CGGAUCUACACUCCUCAGAAGGAAUUAUGUGAGCUUCAAAUUCCACUGGCAGCUCAAGAAACUAUCUCCCCCAUGGUAGCUUUUGUUCCAAGUUAAAACUUUCACUAGAAUUAAACGACCCCUUUAUCUUUCCCAUGCAAAAUGCCAAAUUGCUUUUCAACGUUUUGGUCGUAAAGAUGCGGCCAGACCAUAGGCUGCCAGACCUGCUGAACUGUUCCAGUGAUUUGUCUCCUCUUUUACCAGAUUUGUUUCUUCACAAGCUGCUGGUUCAGGGAGGGUACCAAAUGCCACCACAGUACAUUGAUUUUGUUUGUGAACAUUGUCAUCGCUGAAACAGCUUAUGGUGUACAAUGGAACAUCUACCCCACCAAAUGAACACGGAUCAAGAAAUCUUCCAAAUGAAAGGGGAAAUGAACACACCUCAGAGUUGAAUGGUUUGUUAAGACUUUAGAAAUACUCUCCUGGUGCUGCCAUCAAGGUGGCUCCUGAAAAUUAGCAGCAAGAAUUAUUUGUCCAUUGUCCUCAGUUUUCCAAUCAAUGAAUUGGUCUGAAAUAAAUGCUCUGAAAUUCUGUCAUGCUUGGCUGGUGAUGAAACCUUACUGUCAGCCGGCUAAACUCACAGAAUGAUCCUUAGAAUGCAACUGAGAAUCAAUCUUGCUGAUAGAAGCUUCUGGAAAGGAUAAGAUGCAUGUCAGCAGCACCACUUAAUUCCAGUUUUGAUAACAACAAAUCUCGAUAGUUACAAUACGUCAACAAAAUAUUUGUUUAACAGCAACAAACCUUCCCACCCAACAUGAACUAAUUGCUCUCUGUGUAAAGGGAGUCAAAUUGCUUAAAUGGUCUCAACCUGAUGAGUCACUUGUGCAGGUGUCUUGUUUAUCAACUCUUCAGUAAUUGGCUUUCUGUUUGACUUCCUCUUUGGCCUGAACACAGGUAUCGAUAGAUCCACGCUUGUCUGAACAUGUUGUGCUUUGUCAGAUCACCAAGCCCAGCUGUCACUGAGCGUGGGCAGCACUUCACAAAGAGGCAGGUGGUAAUUUCUCUGAAAGUAUU